rnacentral:rRNA from 1 species
GACAGAGGGUGCAAACGUUGUUCGGAAUUACUGGGCGUAAAGCGCGUGUAGGCGGCCCUGCAAGUCGGGCGUGAAAUCCCACGGCUCAACCGUGGAAGUGCACUCGAAACUGCAGGGCUAGAGUCCUGGAGAGGAAGGUGGAAUGCUUGGUGUAGAGGUGAAAUUCGUAGAUAUCAAGCGGAACACCGGUGGCGAAGGCGGCCUUCUGGACAGUGACUGACGCUGAGACGCGAAAGCGUGGGGAGCGAACAGG